ensembl:rRNA 5S_rRNA 5S ribosomal RNA
GCCUAGAGUCAUACCACCCCGAACACCCCAUAUCCUCCAAUCUCGGAAGCUAAGCAAGGCCAGGCCUGGUUAACACUUGGAGGGGAGACUGCCAGAGAGCUUCAAGUGCAGUAGGUU